rnacentral:rRNA from 1 species
UACGUAGGGUGCAAGCGUUGUCCGGAAUUAUUGGGCGUAAAGAGCUCGUAGGCGGUUUGUUGCGUCGGCUGUGAAAUCCCGAGGCUCAACCUCGGGUCUGCAGUCGAUACGAGCAAACUAGAGUGUUGCAGGGGAGACUGGAAUUCCUGGUGUAGCGGUGAAAUGCGCAGAUAUCAGGAGGAACACCGGUGGCGAAGGCGGGUCUCUGGGCCGAUACUGACGCUGAGGAGCGAAAGCAUGGGUAGCGAACAGG